ACUUUUUACCCGUUUAAGAGCGACGAUUUUAUAUUCAUAUUUAUGUUUUAUGUACUAAAAUACACAAUAUUAUCAAGUUUGAAAAUCAGUGAAGAACUUUACUUUAAUGUUUAACUCUGCGUAGCGCAGACGUUCAUAACCAUUGAACUAUACUCUAACUGGAAUGGGCACUGCCCAUGAAGGAAGAUUAAGGAGAGGGAACUGCAGAGAUUGAAAGUGGUCACGAAAAAUGUUCCACGUUCUGCCAUGUUUGUCCAAUGGAAGAACUAGGACCAUAGCGUCGCCAUCUUGGACUGAUUUUAUCCUUGUUGUUUACCAAGUGUUAGAUAAAGAUAAAAUUGCUGGCAUUAGUCCUGGAGUAGUUUUGACAGUUUUUGGUUAAAAGGUUAUAAAUACAUGUUACAAUAGAGGAAAUAUCGCCAAAGUGUGAAAUAUAUAUAUAUAAUAUAUAUAUUACGUAAUCAAUGAAUAAAUAUUGAAUGAAAUUAGAAAAUUGAAAAGAAUAUAUAUAUAUAUAUAUAUAUAUAUAUAUAUAUAUAUAUAAAAUUAUAUAUAUUGCUACAGAAAGAGCUUUUAACAAAGAAUGGAACUUGAAAAAGAUGGACACAAUAGUUUUAAAUACUUGCAAGAUAAUUUGGAGUUGACUACACUUCCUUCUACAAAAUGGAGUUAUUCAAAAGGAAAUGAAAUGUUUUUUGGUUUCCAAAAGGUAGAAAGUGAUUAUAAUGUAAGAAAAAGAAUUGCUUUUUUGCAAAAUGGACAGAUUAAUAUUUAUAUAGAUGAUAAGAUUCAUUUUCUUUCAAAAUUUAUUGUAAUUUCAAGUAUUGAGGAUUUAAAUGAAUUAUUACAAGUUCUUGAUAAAUUAUAAAAAUGUUAUAUAAAAAUUCACAAUGUCAUGCUAUAACUUCAAUUUAAUAUCAUUUUAAAGAUCACACAUAAUUAACAUGAUUUGAGCACAAAAUAUUAUAUAUAUAUAUAUAUAUAUAUAUAUAUAUAUAUAUAUAUACUAUA